rnacentral:rRNA from 1 species
CAGCAGCCGCGGUAAUUCCAGCUCCAAUAGCGUAUCUUAAAGUUGUUGUGCUUAAAAAGCUCGUAGUUGGAUUUCGGCGGGCGACGGUUGGUUUGAAUCGCUUCAACACUGACUUUUUUGCCCGUGUGUGUUUGCCAGAGUCUGACAGGUGAUCUUAACCGAUUGUCCGUUGGAGCUGGCAGGUAUUACUUUGAAAAAAUUAGAGUGCUCAAAGCAAGCUUGAUUGCUUGAAUAUUCGUGCAUGGAAUAAUAGAAUAGGAAGUCGUUUCUAUUUUGUUGGUUUUCGGAGAUUGACUUAAUGAUUAAUAGGGAUAGUCGGGGGCAUUUGUAUUCAAACGACAGAGGUGAAAUUCUUGGACCGUUUGAAGACAAACUACUGCGAAAGCAUUUGCCAAGAAUGUUUUCAUUAAUCAAGAACGAAAGUUAGAGGUUCGAAGGCGAUUAGAUACCGCCCUAGUUCUAACCAUAAACGAUGCCAGCUAGCGAUCUGCCAGCGUUUAAUUUUCUGACUUGGCAGGGAGCUUCCGGGAAACCAAAGCUUGUGGGUUGCAGGGGAAGUAUGGUUGCAAAGCUGAAACUUAAAGGAAUUGACGGAAGGGCACCACCGGGGUGGAGCCUGUGGCUUAAUUUGACUCAACACGGG